rnacentral:snRNA from 3 species
GUGCUCACUUUGGCAGCACAUAUGCUAAAAUUGGAAUGACAGAAGAUUAGCAUGACCCCUGUGCAAGGAUGACACACAAAUGUGUGAAGUGUCCCAUAUUUUU